UGGCGGCAUGCUUAACACAUGCAAGCGAACGAGAAAGCUCUUCGGAGUGAGUAGAGUGGCGCACGGGUGAGUAACGCAUGGGAACGUACCUAUAGGUUUGGGAUAACCACGGGAAACUGUGGCUAAUACCGGAUAGUCUCGCAAGAGUAAAGGAGCCCUCUGAUUUAAGGUUUCGCCAAUAGAUCGGCCCAUGUCCUAUUAGCUAGUUGGUAGGGUAAUGGCCUACCAAGGCUACGAUAGGUAGCUGGUCUGAGAGGAUGAUCAGCCACACUGGAACUGAGACACGGUCCAGACUCCUACGGGAGGCAGCAGUGGGGAAUAUUGCACAAUGGAGGAAACUCUGAUGCAGCAAUGCCGCGUGAGUGAAGAAGGCUCUUGGGUCGUAAAGCUCUUUCGAUUGGGAAGAAGGGUUAUGUAGUUAAUACCUGCAUAAUUUGACGGUACCUAAAGAAGAAGCACCGGCUAAUUUCGUG
rnacentral:rRNA from 1 species